AAGAAUCCUAAAUAGCAUUUUCUGGGUGAGCAACCCGCAGGGUUGCCCUGGCAGGAGGUCUCAGGUGCUGGGAUUCCGAUGCGCAUCCAGCACAGACUACAGAUGAGUUUCUAAGGGAAAGAGGCUAUCCUGUGUUGCCCCGCCCUUCACCUCCAACCCAAGGGGGAGGUUGGCAUAAGGCUGCCCUUCUGCAAGUCUCUCUGCUCCUGGACUGGGAAAAGUGUAGCGGUAGACAUGUCACAGCAGCGCUGUACUACAUACAGCAGAGACAUCUGCUGGGGUUUCAUGGGAAGCUCUUAGUAAAUGAAGAAAAUCAUCUUGGAAGACCCUCUUUUUGUGUGUCCCCCUUCUUCCCUGUUUAGAAAGGAACCAGGUGCCAAUGUGACCCAGGAGCUGUGGUCAAUGUAUUAAAAUGUGAACAGCAAAGAUGUGUGCGGAUGUAGUAGAGACUGGACCACGGCUGCAGGUGCACCUGCCUCUAGGUUUCUUGCCAUGUAAGAUAAUGAAAUGUUCCUGUGUGAGUAUGGAGGCACUGGGUUUUCUACAACUGCAGACAAAAUCACUGCAGCUGGUCCCUCACUACUUCAGCACUGGCAGAGUCACAGGUUAGAGGUGAGUCACGGGUCACCAUCAUCUCCAGAAAUGGGAAGUGGCACACGGGUGGAGGGGGAAGGACCAACCUUGACUUCCAGCCCUACUGAGUUCAUUUGCAAAGCUUCUGAGAUCUAGAGUCAGUCAGAGCUAAUCCUGAAGGCUCAGGCUGGCACCAGAACAAACCACCAUGAGGGCCAUCUAACCAGGGACACAGCACUGGGCUCUGUAACUGUCACAUCAGCCACUUCCUCUCUCAGAGGACUAUGAGGCAAAUGUGAACAGGCCUCCAACUGAUGCCUUCAUUUCCCCUUAUGAUGUCAAUGACCAUCUCAACUGUUAAAGUCAUUCCCUCAAACUGCUCUCACUGACGAACAAUCAUGGUGAUGUGAAACACCAUCCCUACCGCUGGCUCUGCUGCCACAUGGUCAUACUAACAACAGUCAGGCAUAGAGGCUCUGUUUUCAGAUGUGCAAAGUCAGAAAGUUGGUUCCUAAGAGCACGUAUAUAGACACCAUUUCUCAAGCAUUCUUAAGGGACUAUAUAUAGCCAGUUGGGAGCCCCUUCAUUUUAUUCCAUGAUGUUCAAGGACAUCUCUUAUGCCAUUUCACCUUUGGGAAAGCCUUCAGAUGAGGCUAUACUCUCGAGCCCUUUCCUUAGGAAUACAGGCCUCUGUUGCCAUCACCAAGGGGCCUUCAAAGCAACAGGGGACACAGCAUAGGAGGGACAAAGGAGACCUACCGCAAGAGGUCUGGGGUGGUGUGUGGAGAACUGACAGUCUAACUUCUCGGACUCGUCGGCUCCGUCCAUCUCCCCUUCAUCACUGGACAGCCGGCUGGCAAGGUCGCCUCCAGCUGGGGGCAGAGGGGGCUCUGGAGUGUAGCCGCUGUGGUUUGAAGACGUACUGCUGCUUAUGCUGUUUGCAGACGAUGGUCUAAGGGUGAGACGGGGAGAACACAGAGAACAAGUUGUCUUCAGGAAAUCAGAUCCACCCAUUUCAUGCCGCCAAAAAGCAGUCCUGCCACGAUGUCAGGGAGGGCGAGCCAAUGGCACCGAUCUAAAGGGAAACAUUAAACUGCAGGGGUGACAGCUCUCCUCAGGGACCCACUACUGUUUGUAGUACAGUGUUCUCUGGCUUGCUGCCUCUGGAGUACAAGGCAAGCCCAAGAAGGAACCCCUAGUGUGAGCAGGGGGAUUGUGACAUGUGAACUUACGCAGAGUCGAGUGACUGUCUUCUGGGAGUUCAUCUACAAACACUCACCCAAGAUCAAGUGUUACCAACAGUUUAGUUUAUGUCCUUUCAGACUUCCUUAGUGUGCAUGCAUGAAUUAAAAAAAAAAAAAAAAG
ensembl:processed_transcript Atxn7l1os2 ataxin 7-like 1, opposite strand 2